UACAGAGGGUGCAAGCGUUAUUCGGAUUUACUGGGCGUAAAGGGCGCGUAGGCGGCUUAAUAAGUUUGAUGUGAAAGCCCUCGACUCAAUCGGGGAAGUGCAUUGGAUACUGUUAGGCUAGAGUGUAGGAGAGGAGAGCGGAAUUCCUGGUGUAGAGGUGAAAUUCGUAGAUAUCAGGAGGAACAACAGAGGCGAAGGCGGCUCUCUGGACUACAACUGACGCUGAGGCGCGAAAGCGUGGGGAGCAAACAGG
rnacentral:rRNA from 1 species